rnacentral:rRNA from 1 species
UACGAAGGGGGCUAGCGUUGCUCGGAAUUACUGGGCGUAAAGCGCACGUAGGCGGCUCUUUAAGUCAGGGGUGAAAUCCUGGAGCUCAACUCCAGAACUGCCUUUGAUACUGGAGAUCUCGAGUCCGGAAGAGGUGAGUGGAACUCCGAGUGUAGAGGUGAAAUGCGUAGAUAUCGGAAGGAACACCAGUGGCGAAAGCGGCUUCCUGGUCCAGCACCGACGUCAGGCACGAAAGCGUGGGGAGCAAACAGG